GAAAAAGCAGGGAUCUGUUGCCUGUGUGAAUGGAUCUCUCGUAGACUUCAGGGAAAUAUAUUCACUGUUAUUGGGUGAACCUCUGUUAUCUGUCGUGGCUGAAGGUUCAAAAAAUGGUGUCACAUCA
rfam:Eucalyptus grandis cultivar BRASTZ1 unplaced genomic scaffold scaffold_2, whole genome shotgun sequence.